rnacentral:rRNA from 1 species
AGCGAACGCGGGCGGCAGGCCUAACACAUGCAAGUCGAGCGCCCCGCAAGGGGAGCGGCAGACGGGAGAGUAACACGUGGGAACAUGCCCUUCAGUACGGAACAACCAAGGGAAACUUUGGCUAAUACCGUAUACGCCCGUAAGGGGAAAGAUUUAUCGCUGAAGGUUUGGCCCGCGUCUGAUUAGCUAGUUGGUGGGCAAAUGGCCCACCAAGGCGACGAUCAGUAGCUGGUCUGAGAGGAUGAUCAGCCUCACUGGGACUGGGAAACGGCCCAGACUCCUACGGGGGGCAGCAGUGGGGAAUAUUGGACAAUGGGCGCAAGCCUGAUCCAGCAAUGCCGCGUGGGUGAAGAAGGGCUUCGGAUCGUAAAGCCCUUUCGACAGGGACGAUGAUGACGGUACCUGUAGAAGAAGCCCCGGCUAACUUCGUGCCAGCCGCCGCCGUAAGAC